UUGGUGUGUUUUUCUUCCAUUUAAAAUCACAGUGCUAUGAAGUAGAAGUCCAGGUGGCACUAUUGGCGAAGAAUCCACAUGCCAAAGGAGGAGACAUAAGAGACAUGGGUUCAAUCCCUGAUUUGGGAAGAUCCUUUGGAGGAGAGCAUGGCAACUUACUCCAGUAGUCUUACCUGGAGAAUCCCAUGGACAGAGGAGCCUGGUGGGCUGUGACACAGAAGUCAAUUAUCUGGAUGUGGCAACUGAGGCUCCAAGAAGUGGAAGUAACUUUCUCAAGAUCAUAUAACUAGUAAAGGCCAAAGCUGGAAUUUGAACCAAAGCCUGACUGGACACAAGAUGCUGUGUUCCAUUACAAGUCUCCACACUGCUGUGAAGGUGGCCAGGUGGGACACAUCCUAUCAGCAAGCAGAGAGAAGAAGCAUAGGGUCCAGGGAAGAUGGAACUGAAAGGACAGUCUUCUGUUUAAGGAAGGUGCCACAGCGUGAUCAAGGGGUGAGAGCAGGACUGCAGAAAUGUCUACACCAGGAACCAGGGUUCACAGGCACCAUCAGACACUCCAGUGCUUGAAAGGGCACUGGGAAAUGACACAUGAGGGUUAGGAACCACUCGAAGUGGCAGAAAAUCCACCUCGACCCCACUUCACCAGAGAGGGUUCGUCUGCAAAACUGGGGAGGAGGAGUGAGAUCGAGUCAAACUCAAUCGUGGGGCAGCGGGGACUAAGCAGACACUUUAUACUGUCCUUGGAAUGUGAUCAAAGCCCCUAAAUGUAUUAGGCUGAUCCCCUAAUGCAGCCCGCCACAAGGAAGGCUUGGUAUCUCUCCUGUCUCCUCCCUCACUCUUUUUGACCAGCUGCGGGGAGUAACUGAGUUCAUUGCCUGAGAGAAUUAGGUCAGACCAGAGCUGAAUAUCAAGCUGACAGAGGGGAGUUUGGUGCCAAUGUUGAUUAAACGA